UACGUAGGUGGCGAGCGUUGUCCGGAAUUACUGGGCGUAAAGGGCGCGUAGGCGGCCUGUUAAGUCAGAUGUGAAACCCCCAGGCUCAACUUGGGGCAUGCAUUUGAAACUGAUGGGCUCGAGUGUCGGAGAGGAAAGUGGAAUUCCUAGUGUAGCGGUGAAAUGCGUAGAUAUUAGGAGGAACACCAGUGGCGAAGGCGACUUUCUGGACGAUAACUGACGCUGAGGCGCGAAAGCGUGGGGAGCAAGCAGGAUUAGAUACCCUGGUAGUCCACGCUGUAAACGAUGGAUACUAGGUGUGGGAGGUAUCGACCCCUUCCGUGCCGCAGUAAACGCAAUAAGUAUCCCGCCUGGGGAGUACGGCCGCAAGGUUGAA
rnacentral:rRNA from 1 species